rfam:Candidatus Curtissbacteria bacterium RIFCSPLOWO2_02_FTLL_40_13b rifcsplowo2_02_scaffold_7654, whole genome shotgun sequence.
GACCUAACCCUCACAGUUUAAACUGCGAGAUAUGGUUAACAAGACGCAAUCAGCACAAACACCCCAUCAUCAGGGUCGCUGAUUGCGCCAUACGAGGAAACUCGUAUGUUGGGCCGCAAGGUCCU